UGUUUUGCGUUUUGUGCUUUGGUGAGAUAUUUUAUUAGCCUAUGUUAUGUGUUAUGAUCAAGGAUUGCAUUGGGUUUCUUAGUUAAGCGAAACUGGGCUCUUCCUUUUGCUUCCAAUACGUUCUUCCAACCCAGCCCCAAUUCGAAGAAAAUUCUUCAACUGGCUUUGAUUUCAGGUUGUUAUCUUUGCAUACAACUUCCUUGCUGCUAAGUUGGGGCGACGAUCUGAAGUGGAAGGCCUCAUAUUUACAACUAAUACAAAUAGCAAGUAUUGCUUAUCCCAUUUUAUCUUCGAGCUUAAUUCAUCACUUGAUAUGCAGUACUAACUCAGUUGUUCAUCAAUUUGUUUCACUUUUAGGUUUUAUUAUGGUAAGUAAUUCCUCUAUUUUGAGUAUCAUGUAUCUGUUCUUGAUUUCCACUGAAUACAUAUAUUUGUGUUAAAGUAUUAA